ensembl:lncRNA
CAUCUCAGGGCCAUGGCACGUGCUGCCUCCAGCACCCUCCUCUUAUGGCCCCCACAAAGCAGGCCCUGGGGUCCCCUGAGGCCUAACAGCCCCUGCUGGGCCAUGCCAGCCUGGAGCCUGCUGGAUGGUCCCUUUGAAACUGUCUGCACUCCACAAGCCUUACCAGGAAGCAAACAUUCAUUCAGUGCCUCCUAUGUGCCAGGCACCCAGCUCUACCCUUGCCUUCCACGUGGAUGGUCCUCUCGGCCCAGUGAGGCUGCAGGGCUCAACACUGUCUUCAUGUGUGGCAUCAGGACUCAGGGAGACCAAGAGACAUGGCCAAGAUGAAAGGGUUAGAGGUCGGUGGAGUUGGAAUCCAACUCAAGCCCUUUUGGACCCCAUGGAGAAGCUGUCACCGUGAAUGUUGAUUCAUCUGAAUUUACAGGUUGGAGCCUCAGCCAGGCCAGCCUGGGACAAGGUGAUCUAAGACAGGAAGGGUGUCAUGGAAGCAUGGAGAGUGACCUCAGUGAUGCUUCCUCCCUUAACAAGCACUAAACAUUCAGAAAAAUGAUGGGCUUGAAGUCUUCUCUUAGGCCAAGAGACAGGGUGCUCAGAUGUGAGCUGGCAUUGCCACCUGCCGCCUAUGCCUGCCCGUGUCCCAGGGACGCUCCUCGGCAUUGCAGAGCACACUGAGCGUGGUGGCUAUGGGCAGACAUGGGGAAAGGCAGAGAGGCAGCUUCAUGGUGCCAAGGGUUUAGUUUCCAAUCCAAAGGCCACGCAGAUCUACAGCAGGGAAACCAGAUUCUGCCAGAUCAGAACCCUAAACACUGAGCAGACCCAGGCCAUAGUGCCCUGGUGUCGGCCGCCAGGGAGCUGUGCUCUCACCUACAGCCCUCUCCUCCACCUCCUGCCAAAGGCCCCCACCCCCGGCCCAGCACUCACCAGCCAUCUUGUUGCAAGGUUGACAAAAAGCAGUGUAGCCAGGUUUUUCUGUCAGUUGCCUCAAAUAUUCAAAGCUUUGUGUUCACCAGCAUGUCCCCUCACAUCCAUGUAAUUCAGCAUUUGUGAGAAUCACUUUAAUAAUAAACAGUAAAUUAACCUAAA